CCGCCGCGGUAAGACGUAGGACACAAGCGUUAUCCGGAUUUACUGGGCGUAAAGCGUCUGCAGGCGGACAGGUAAGUUGGGCGUGAAAGCUCCGGGCCCAACCCGGAGAGGUCGUUCAAUACUGCGUGUCUAGAGGGUGUCAGAGGGGAGUGGAAUUUCCGGAGUAGCGGUAAAAUGCGCAGAGAUCGGAAAGAACACCAAUGGCGAAGGCAGCUCCCUGGGGCAACCCUGACGCUAAGAGACGAAAGCUAGGGGAGCGAACAGGAUUAGAGACCCUGGUAGUCCUAGCCCUAAACGAUGGAUGCUGGAUGUGGGGCCAUAGCGCUCCGUGUCGAAGCGAACGCGUUAAGCAUCCCGCCUGGGGACUACGGCCGCAAGGUUAAAACUCAAACGAAUUGACGGGACCCCGCACAAGCAGCGGAGCGUGUGGUUUAAUUCGAUGCUACACGAAGAACCUUACCUGGGUUUGACAUCUAGGUGGUAGUGAAGCGAAAGCGGAGCGACCCUUCGGGGAGCCUAGACAGGUGCUGCAUGGCUGUCGUCAGCUCGUGCCGUGAGGUGUCGGGUUAAGUCCCGUAACGAGCGCAACCCUUGCCCUCCGUUAUACGUGUCAGAGGGGACUGCCGGCGGUAAGCCGGAGGAAGGUGGGGAUGACGUCAAGUCAGCAUGGCCUUUAUAUCCAGGGCUACACACACGCUACAAUGGCCAGUACAAAGGGCAGCGAAGCCGCGAGGUGGAGCGAAUCCCAGCAAAGCUGGUCGUAGUUCGGAUUGCAGGCUGCAACCCGCCUGCAUGAAGCUGGAGUUGCUAGUAACCGCGCGUCAGCCAUAGUGCGGUGAAUACGUUCCCCGGGGUUUGCA
rnacentral:rRNA from 1 species